GAUCGAGUUUGAUCCUGGCUCAGGAUGAACGCUAGCGGCAGGCCUAAUACAUGCAAGUCGAACGGUGAUAGCAAUAUCAUAGUGGCGCACGGGUGCGUAACACGUAUGCAACCUACCUAUUAUUGGGGAUAGCCUUUGGAAACGGAGAUUAAUACCGCAUAAUACGAUUGACUGGCAUCGGUUGAUUGUUAAAGCUUUGGCGAUAAUAGAUGGGCAUGCGUCAAUUAGUUAGUUGGUUAGGUAACGCUGACCAAGACGAUGAUUGGUAGGGGAUCUGAGAGGAUAAUCCCCCACACUGGCACU
rnacentral:rRNA from 1 species